UACGGAGGAUGCGAGCGUUAUCCGGAUUUAUUGGGUUUAAAGGGUGCGUAGGCGGUAUUUUAAGUUAGUGGUAAAACGUCGGGGCUUCACCUUGAUUGGCCAUUAAAACUGGAGUACUAGAGUACAGACGAGGUAGGCGGAAUAAGUUAAGUAGCGGUGAAAUGCUUAGAUAUAACUUAGAACCCCGAUAGCGAAGGCAGCUUACCAGACUGUUACUGACGCUGAAGCACGAGAGCGUGGGUAGCGAACAG
rnacentral:rRNA from 1 species